rnacentral:rRNA from 1 species
AGUGAACGCUGGCGGUAGGCCUAACACAUGCAAGUCGAACGGCAGCACAGAGGAGCUUGCUCCUUGGGUGGCGAGUGGCGGACGGGUGAGGAAUACAUCGGAAUCUACUCUGUCGUGGGGGAUAACGUAGGGAAACUUACGCUAAUACCGCAUACGACCUACGGGUGAAAGCAGGGGACCUUCGGGCCUUGCGCGAUUGAAUGAGCCGAUGUCGGAUUAGCUAGUUGGCGGGGUAAAGGCCCACCAAGGCGACGAUCCGUAGCUGGUCUGAGAGGAUGAUCAGCCACACUGGAACUGAGACACGGUCCAGACUCCUACGGGAGGCAACAGGGGGGAAUAUUGGACAAUGGGCGCAAGCCUGAUCCAGCCAUACCGCGCGGGUGAAGAAGGCCUUCGGGUUGUAAAGCCCUUUUGUUGGGAAAGAAAUCCAGCUGGCUAAUACCCGGUUGGGAUGACGGUACCCAAAGAAUAAGCACCGGCUAACUUCGUGCCAGCCGCCGCCGUAA